CUCUAUUGUUCUCUUAUUUAUGAAAGUUUGGGCUUUUAAUCAAAUCUUCAUCUGUAGAUGAUAGCUUUUGACUGUUUUGUUGGUAAUCUUUCAAUGGAUGAUUGGAAAUUGCUUAAUUUAUUUAACCUUAACAUUUACACUUUACUGUUUAUCGAUGACGUCACGUUAUCAAGGAGCGCGAAAAUUGGCAGAAAACUAAAGUUGUUUUGAUCUUUUAUGGUAAACAUAAAACUGUUCUGCGAUUUCAAGAAUAAUAAAAUAAUCCUUCUACAACAGAAGGGAGUGUCCAAGAUUUCAAUAUUUCUGAAGGGAGCUGCUGACAGAGAUGUAGGAAGCGCUGAAAAGGUUAAGUAACCUAAUAUGCAUUUUUUUCACAACAUAUAUCGCAAUGAAUUUGUUAUUUUAUUUAUUUAUUUUUUGCAUUUCACCUGCUCUAGCUUGUUUCCAUCUAAUAAACCUGGAACUGCAGACUAAAUAUUGUUGGCUCUGUGUCAAAUUGCUUGUUUUGUUCCUAGAUUCUUCAGUGCUGAUGGCCUGCUGCAUCCAGCAGAGUCGGAGUGAACCUACUGUAAGACAAUAUCUCCAAGAUGCUAUUGACCACAAGACUAGUACAGUAAGUCAAACCUCAAAUGUACACUACACUAGUGUUCAAAAGCUUGAAGUUGAUACAAUUUGUAAUAAUUAUCUUCUGCUCACCUCUGUAGUAAUUAUUUGAUUAAAAUAUGUAAAAAGACUGGAGUAAUGAUGCUGAAAAUUCAGCUUUGAUCAAAGGAAUAAAUGACAUUUUAACAUAAUAUUCACAUAGAAAAUAGUUGUUUUGUAUUGUAAUAGUCACAGUGUUACUAUUUUACUGUAAUUUGAUUCAAUAAAUGGAGCCGUGGUGAGCAUAAGAGAUUUUUUAUAAAGGCAUAAAAUAUCUUACAGACCCCAAACUCUUGAAUGGUUGUGUAAAUUACAGUUAUGAUGUUCCUCCCAGUUAAACUUUAUUAAAAUGUAUUAAAUGUUACUCUGGCAUAUGCAGUCCAUUCUAUAGAGACUGUGUCUGUUCCCCAAAAACAGACAACAAAUAAUAUGUUUAUUAAGGGAUCUAGAAAUUUUUUUUCAGUUUAAACCUACUAGACUUAAAAAUAGUACUCAAUGUACUCCAUUGAUGAAAUAGGAAAAAGUGCACAUUGCCUGAAAUGAUAUGAACAGCAGCUACGCUAAUCUUUCUCCCUUUGCCUUCCUGUUUCUGCAAAUGUCCAUCCCAGGGUUAUUAGGCACAGGACUUGCAGGACUUGUGGGGACUUCAGAUGAUACCAGUACUCAAAAGACCUUAGAUGAUGGCAACUAUAGAUGGACAUACAAACUACCGCCACUGCAAAAAAGAUUCUAAUUUGAAAGAAGUUUAUAAUGCAUGUUCGCUACUCCCAAUUCAGAAGACUGAAUCAGCCUGUGUAUCUGAAUGUUUCUCAUACUCACUCCUCUCUGCCGCGUCUGAAUUUUGGAUUUUCCUUAGCUGUCAGUUCAAAUAAACAUUUGAAAUAUAUCAGUCUGUGUGUAAUGAAUAAAUAUAAUAUACAAGUUUCACUUUUUGAAUGGAAUUAGUGAAAUAAAUCAACUUUUUGAUGAUAUGCUAAUUAUAUGACCAGCACCUGUAUAUCAUUGCUCUUUUGUUGAUUUUGAUUGCUUCCAUUGUCCUCAUUUGUAAGUUGCUUUGGAUAAAAGUGUCUGCUUAAUGUAAAUGUAAUGUUAAUGUGUAUUUAACUAUAUUUAUAAAUAUUUAUCUAUAUUUUUUAUUUUGUAAUAAUGUAAAUGUAUUUGUUUUAUAUCUAUACAUGCAGUUGUAUUCAUGUAUGUAUAUUUAUUUGUCUAAUUUUUAUAUUUUAAUAAAGCAGUUUAGACUA